rfam:Streptomyces atratus strain OK807 genome assembly, contig: Ga0007934_1040
GCCGGUCCUCGGUAGUGGCCCCCGGACUCAUCGACCCGGGUGCUUCGAUCGAAGACCGGC